rnacentral:tRNA from 4 species
GCGCCUGUAGCUCAGUCGGAUAGAGCAACUGCCUUCUAAGCAGUAGGUCGCAGGUUCGAUUCCUGCCAGGCGCG